rnacentral:rRNA from 1 species
GUGGCGGACGGGUGAGUAAUGCUUGGGAAUCUGGCUUAUGGAGGGGGAUAACGACGGGAAACUGUCGCUAAUACCGCGUAAAGUCUAAGGACUAAAGGGUGGGACUUUCGGGCCACCCGCCAUAAGAUGAGCCCAAGUGGGAUUAGGUAGUUGGUUAGGUAAAGGCUGACCAAGCCGACGAUCUCUAGCUGGUCUGAGAGGAUGACCAGCCACACUGGAACUGAGACACGGUCCAGACUCCUACGGGAGGCAGCAGUGGGGAAUAUUGCACAAUGGGGGGAACCCUGAUGCAGCCAUGCCGCGUGAAUGAAGAAGGCCUUCGGGUUGUAAAGUUCUUUCGGUGAUGAGGAAGGGUGGUGUUUUAAUAGAGCACUACAUUGACGUUAGUCACAGAAGAAGCACCGGCUAACUCCGUGCCAGCAGCCGCGGUAAUACGGAGGGUGCGAGCGUUAAUCGGAAUAACUGGGCGUAAAGGGCACGCAGGCGGACUUUUAAGUGAGGUGUGAAAUCCCCGGGCUUAACCUGGGAAUGGCAUUUCAGACUGGGAGUCUAGAGUACUUUAGGGAGGGAUAGAAUUCCACGUGUAGCGGUGAAAUGCGUAGAGAUGUGGAGGAAUACCGAAGGCGAAGGCAGCCCCUUGGGAAGAUACUGACGCUCAUGUGCGAAAGCGUGGGGAGCAAACAGGAUUAGAUACCCUGGUAGUCCACG